rnacentral:misc_RNA from 1 species
GAUGAAGAACGUAGCGAAAUGCGAUAAGUAGUGUGAAUUGCAGAAUUCAGUGAAUCAUCGAAUCUUUGAACGCACAUUGCGCCCUUUGUUAUUCCUUAGGGCAUGCCUGUUCGAGCGUCAUUUAAACCUUCAAGCUCAGCUUGGUGUUGGGUGACUGUCCGCCGCCUCCGGGCGCGUGGACUCGCCUCAAAAUUAUUGGCGGCCGGUACAUUGGCUUCGAGCGCAGCAGAAACGCGAACUCGGGCCCGUCGUAUUGGCUCCCAGAAGCUAUCUUCACAAUUUUGACCUCGGAUCAGGUAGGGAUACCCGCUGAACUUAAGCAUAUCAAUAAGCGGAGGA